rnacentral:rRNA from 1 species
GAUGAACGCUGGCGGCGUGCCUAAUACAUGCAAGUCGAGCGAACAGACGAGGAGCUUGCUCCUCUGACGUUAGCGGCGGACGGGUGAGUAACACGUGGAUAACCUACCUAUAAGACUAGGAUAACUUCGGGAAACCGGAGCUAAUACCGGAUAAUAUAUUGAACCGCAUGGUUCAUUAGUGAAAGACGGUUUUGCUGUCACUUAUAGAUGGAUCCGCGCCGCAUUAGCUAGUUGGUAAGGUAACGGCUUACCAAGGCAACGAUGCGUAGCCGACCUGAGAGGGUGAUCGGCCACACUGGAACUGAGACACGGUCCAGACUCCUACAGGAGGCAGCAGUAGGGAAUCUUCCGCAAUGGGCGAAAGCCUGACGGAGCAACGCCGCGUGAGUGAUGAAGGUCUUCGGAUCGUAAAACUCUGUUAUUAGGGAAGAACAAAUGUGUAAGUAACUAUGCACGUCUUGACGGUACCUAAUCAGAAAGCCACGGCUAACUACGUG